AUGCCUCUAUGUGCUGUCCGAUGGAAUCCAGGAAAUCAAGACGAGAUUGUUUGCUCAUCUAACCAAACUGACAAAGUUUUACUGUUUGACAUUGGGUACGUCUCAUCUGCUCCGACUGAAGUUUUACAGAAAGGGAAGACCAAAUUUCAUGGUCUCUGCUCGGAAUCCCGGAAGGGUUUGACUGAUGUAGCUUUUACUCCAGACGGUAAGUCACGGCUAUUUGCUUCUGGACUUGAUGGUGCAGUCUACAUGUGGGACAUGCGGCUAAGUAAGACACACUGUGUUGAGCUUACAGCACUCCCAGAAUCUCAGUUUACCAGUGUCAAGCUAAAUAUGGAUAAUCGGACAGUGUUUGGUGCAACUAGAAAUGGGACCAUUCAUGUUUGGGAUACACGUGGAGGGAGGGCAUCAGCUGCUUUUCAAAGCCAUAAUGAGGUUCAACCUUUGUCAUCAGUGAAGAUAUCAAGGUUGUUGGGAAAAAUUGCAUCGCUGAAGGAACAAUCAAACAUUGUUUCAGGUGAAAUUCUGUCGAUAGACUUUAACCCUAGUUGCUCAUAUCAGUUAGCCUUCCAUCUUGAUGAUGGGUGGUCUGGAGUCCUGAAUGUCAACACUUUCAGUGUUAGUCAUCUGCACUGCCCUCCUCCUGCUUGGUUGUAA
rnacentral:rRNA from 1 species